AUCAAUAAAUCUGCAGUUUUAAAGUGCUGUUCUGCUCUGAAAACUGACUGUAAAAAUGGCACCUUUUCACCCAACCAACUGGGUAUUCAAAGUCUGGCUUGCUUUACUGACUAAAAUAAGAUAUAGCUAUUACUCCUAUUAGCAUAGCCAAUAAGAGUAUGGAAGACUGAACUGGCAUCUGUGAGUCAUGUACCAACAACAUUGCUGAGUAAAUUCAGUCUGCAGAAUCUUUAUUGUUAGGCUCUGAAUUAGCAGACUCAUACUUGACUUUCAGAGUCUAGGCCUAGUUUGUAGGGCUAGCAUCUACAGAGAGGGGGAAUAAAUCUUCGUGCUAAAAUCAGCAGCUUUGAUCCAGAAGCCAAUGCAAAACAUUGACUAUUGAAUUACGCAAUGCCAUUUUUAAUUAAGAGUAGAAACUCCUUCUUAAAAGGGCCUGUUCAUUCUCAACAGAUAAGCAUUGUUACCGGUUCAAAAAUGUUGGUGUCCCUAACUGGCCCAUCAAUCCUUCACUCUUUUAACGAUUUUGCUUUUAAAAAUCACUAAUGGGACUUAUAUAUUUUAAUAUAGGCAUGUCCAAAAUUAAGCUAUUGUACAUCUAACCCAUAUGUUUGCAUUGCAACAUUUAGUGGUGUAAAUAAGGGAAGGAACAGUGGAGGAUACAGAGUUUCCUUUUUUUGGGGUACUCUUGCCUACAGACUGACCACAACUAGGUAGGAUGAUUCCACUGGAUAGACUAGAAUCACCCAGAAAUUGGGUGUGGCAGGCAAAAGGUGUGCUCAUCGGUUGUUUGAAACUACUUAGGUGACUUCCAUUGUAGGCAAGUUGCUUGACAGUGCAAAUCCAGAAAAUGGAACUAAUGAGAACAAGAGGUGGGAAAGGAGUUUAUAAUAGUGUGCAUCUGCGAAAUUGGUGGAUUCAGCAAUACAGGAGCUCAAGGAUCGGAAGGGUCUACUGUAAUGAUUGUGUUCAAAGGACUUUCAGUUUUGUUGGAUUAAACUGCAGGCUCCCAGUGGAGAAGAGGAUGACUAGAAUUUGCUCUUGGCUGUGCAAAUUGCAGAAGGUUGUUGCAAAGACUCAAGGGAAGUUUUGUAGGAAGCUGUGGCACUAUCAUUUGUUUCCCAACUUUGAGAAGUUAGAAUGCACUGAUGUGAAUUUGGACACCAUUCCACAGAGAUUGAGAAGGGUAAACCCUCCCAGAGAAGAUCCCUAGGGAAGCUGUAUGUAUGUGUGCAUCCAUAAUUUUAUGUUUUUGCAUUUGAACUUAUGAUAGUAACAAGUACUAAAAACUUGGGAGAACAUCCUCAACCCCCAAAGUGUUGUCUGUAAACAAGUUAUUGUCAAAUAUUCACAAAUGUUUCAAGGGUUAUAAGUAAAUUGUUCUGUAUGCAAAUUAUUUAGUAAAUAUUUUCCUUUAGAGAUUGUGUUGCUCUCCUAUCAGUAUAGUAUAGUAGAUACUAUAAACCCCUGUACUAUAUACUAUACUAGAUCUGUAUAGUAGAUAUAGAUAUAUAUCAGAGUCCUGAAAAAACUAAAUUUCUGGACUGUGCCAUAGAGAGAUAAGCAGAGGUACAGGAAAGGGGAAAGAAACGUUAUAUCCAACAUUAGAAUAGUGCUUUCUCCACAUCUGUUACACGUGGUCAUUUCUAAAGUAAACAUGGAUAAUUUCAGAUGUGAAGGCCAAUGCCACACAGAUUAAUACACUGCUCAAAUUAUUUAAGAUGUUACCAUGCUUUUUGGUUCAUGAGGCUCUUCAUAGUAUCUUCAUUCAAUGUAAGUGGAGAAAUAAGAAUCACAGAGUGCAUCUCCAUUCACUUCAGGCUGUCCAUGAUUUGUAUUCUUUAAGUUUUAGCAGUGCCGGUCAUAUACAUUUUAUGUCCUGUUGGCUUCUUGUUCCCUAAAUGUGUUGCUAGUAGUAAACCAAGACAAUUUCAGGUCUGUCAGCCAUGUGGAGAAACCCUGAUUUCUAUGUUAAAUUAGAAUUUUAAAGCUUCGCAUGCUAAUGAUGAUACACUGCGAAAAUUGAAUACUUAAUAUUCCAAAAUAUAUUAAUGCCUCUUGCUCAAAUUCUGCUCACCAUAUAAUUUCCCUUCUUCCUCUUGGUUGAUGAUAUACCAUUGUAUUUGCAACUGGAUUACUGUCUCAAAAACACUUUUCUCAUUAGUGAACUGUAUUGCUCUUGGGAGGAAAAUAAAGUAGCCUUUCUGUUGCUUUUAGGAGGAAGAAAGGUAUCCCUUCUAAAUGAUCAAUAAAUGACUGACAAACCACAAAUAAUGCCAUGCAACAAAACUCUUGCACUAGUUUCACCCUGGUGUAAUCGCUCUGACAUCAAUUGAAUCAUUUCCGUUGUACAUCACCUGAGAUCAGAAUAAAACUUAGAAAUCAGUUAUAGGACGCUCAGGGCUUAACAUUUCUGAAGAAUCCUGGAUACCAUAAAAAUUAUUCUCAUUAAGGUAUCUUAUAGAGCUAAACUUGGGGACUGUUUAGAUUUGUUACAUAGCUUACCUUUUCCAUUGCUGUAUGUUUAAUGACUAUUAGGCUGGAAAAAAUUGGAUGAAAUUAUCUACAAUAUAAAUCCUCCCAAAUACCUCAGUAGCAGGUAGCCCAUAGGGGAUGGGAAUGGAUUUCUGUCAGCCUGCACCUCAACCAUCAUGGAGCAGCACCAGAGUUGCUCUAUAGCAGGGGCAGGCAACCUAUGGCAUGCGUGCCAAAGGCAGCAUGAGAGCUGAUUUUCAGUGGCACUCACACUGCCCAGGUCCUGGCCACUGGUCCAGGGGGGUUCUGCAUUUUAAUUUAAUUUUAAAUGAAGCGUUUUAAACAUUUUAAAAACCUUAUUUACUUUACAAACAACAAUAGUUUAGUUAUUUAUUAUAGACUUAUAGAAAGAGACCUUCUAAAAAAGUUAAAAUGUAUUAACCUGCACGCGAAACCUUAAAUUAGAGUGAAUAAAUGAAGACUUGGCACACCACUUCUGAAAGGUUGCCGACCCCUGCUCUAUAGCCACUACUAUAUCUUCUAGUCUACAGUCCAGUACAUAGUUCAGGUACUACCAUUGUGCAGAGGGAAAUGGCCAAUAAAUUUGGCAGCCCUGAUUUCAGGUGAGUGCUUACUGUGUAUUGUUAUAUUGUGUAGAUAUUUAAUGUGUUAUAUUUAAAUAUUUUUAUUCUGGUUUUGUCUUCAACUCUCUUGGCCACAGAUCUUUCCUUCCAGAGCAAAGUGUAGAACACACUUCAGGUUAGCUUUUCCACAACAAGGGAAAAAGAUAGACGGGAUAAAUAAAGAGGUGGCUCACUAGAUCAUCUUACUAACGGAACUUCAUACAUGAUCAUCUUGGCGCUGAGAUAUGGUGAUAGAUGUGCGACUACAAAUCCUGACAUUCACUGAAGUCAACAGGAAAGCUCCCGGCCAGAAUUUUUUCCUGACUCUGUGCUUUAUGCCUGCAGCUAAGAUCUGGAAUGUUCAGGCAGAUGCUCUCUAGGUUUGUUGGACUGGUGAAAAGGGUGUUCUGAAGAGACUUUGCUCCCUUCUUCCUUCCUGAUUAGAGCAACAGAGUUAAAAAAUGAUUAUCUUUAUUGCAUGUUGCAAGGCAUAUCUAUUUUCUGAAGAUGUAGUUUGAAUAGUGGAUGAGAUUUUUUUUCCCCCUAUGGAAGAUAGAGGUGGAGGAGAGAUUCCUUAUUGUUAAUUGAUGUUAGUUCAGUGUACAGUAUGUGAUUUUAUAGUUCUUGUACCUGGGCCUAGAAACCAAUAUAUAGUACUCACACUUUAUAAACCAAAAUAUGCUGUCUCUUGUAUGGUUAAAAAUAAAUAAAAAAUUAUCAAGAGCCUUUCCAGCCAAAGAGGAUCUUUUUCCCUCAAAGCAGAAUGUGAAUUGUAAACCAUUUCAAAAUCAAAGGUUGUAACUGUUAUCCUGGCUUGAUUCUUGAAUAAAGUGUUAAAACUCCAA